rnacentral:rRNA from 1 species
UACGGAGGGGACUAGCGUUGUUCGGAAUUACUGGGCGUAAAGCGCACGUAGGCGGAUUUGUAAGUCAGGGGUGAAAUCCCGGGGCUCAACCUCGGAACUGCCUUUGAUACUGCAAAUCUCGAGUCCGGAAGAGGUGAGUGGAAUUCCUAGUGUAGAGGUGAAAAUUCGUAGAUAUUAGGAAGAACACCAGUGGCGAAGGCGGCUCACUGGUCCGGUACUGACGCUGAGGUGCGAAAAGCGUGGGGAGCAAACAGG